GAUGAACGCUAGCUACAGGCUUAACACAUGCAAGUCGAGGGGAAACGAUGAGAGAGCUUGCUCUCUUAGGCGUCGACCGGCGCACGGGUGAGUAACGCGUAUCCAACCUACCCAUUACAGGGGGAUAACCUUGCGAAAGUAAGACUAAUACCCCAUGGCAUUUUAUGGUGGCAUCAUUAUAGGAUUAAAGAUUUAUUGGUAAUGGAUGGGGAUGCGUCUGAUUAGCUUGUUGGCGGGGUAACGGCCCACCAAGGCAACGAUCAGUAGGGGUUCUGAGAGGAAGGUCCCCCACAUUGGAACUGAGACACGGUCCAAACUCCUACGGGAGGCAGCAGUGAGGAAUAUUGGUCAAUGGGCGAGAGCGUGAACCAGCCAAGUAGCGUGCAGGAUGACGGCCCUAUGGGUUGUAAACUGCUUUUAUAGGGGAAUAAAGUGAGCUACGUGUAGUUUAUUGCAUGUACCCUAUGAAUAAGGACCGGCUAAUUCCGUG
rnacentral:rRNA from 1 species